GCCUCACUAACAUCUUUAGCAGCAUGGUUAGUUGUUUCAGGUCACGUGACCGGGUCGUGGUGCUGGUCGGUGAGGCGGACACACUUCACUGAGCCAGUGCAUGCUGCAAAGGAGGACGUCUAGGAAGGAAUGAAAAGGCUGCCCAUACAGCUUCUGAGAGUAUACAUACACUACAUACAUACAUACAUACAUACAUAUAAAGGUAGAGAGGUGGCAGGCAUAUGUUAGACUAGUGGACUUAGGUGUUAGGGGUUUGGGGCAAAGUGGGUCACAUCUGUGUUGAUUGAAUUUUGAUUCAGAGGCAAUGUGUUGAGGUCAUGAUAUAGCUAACAGGUCUAGUCAGUAGUUGUGCAUUCAGAGGGAUGAGGUUAGUUAGGGAAGGGCCCAGUGUGUAGAUGUAAACUGCCUGGUGCACAUAAUGUUGGGAUAGUGGUAUAGUUGGAUGUAGUGAGCUUGGAGGGGAGUGAGUCUGGGACGCCAGAAUUCACUGCUGAGCCUUCUGGAGGUGUCGUAGGCCUAAUUCAGCAAAACACUGGUGAAGGGAGGUGCCUACCUGAUGACCCCUGUGAAGAGCUUGCAGCAUAGUGAUUAGUGAUUUAUUAUAUAGAUAAAGGGAAAGUAAGAUAUUUGAUGGUUGGGUUAAAUGUUGCUGAUUGGAUCAUAAAAGGCCAAAGCAAUAUAGUUGUCAAGUUUAGGUGCUCGUAGUUUUUGUGGAGUUAAAGUUGAAUGAAUGGGAGAGUAGAGUAUACAGGAAAAGGACUGGACUGGGCCCUAUGUAUAACUCCAGUUGUUAGGUGCAGGAUUAUGUCAUCCUCUUGUAUUAAAACAGACAGACACAAACAAACAGAAAUAGAUAGAUCUAUUGUGUAUAGUGUAGAGCAAGUGCAGGGUUCAAAUAUCAGUAGUGAUUGGUUGUUGAUUGGACGAUUGUUAUUGGCAGGUGUAGGUAGGGAACUAUAGAUGAUAUCUUAUGUAGCGAGCUUGGAGUGGAGUGAGUCUGGGACGCCAGGCUUCACUGCUGAGCCUUCCGGAGGGGUUGUAGGCUUAAUUAAGAGAAACCUUGAUGAAGGAAGGUGCCUACCUCAUGACCCCUGUGAAGAGCUUGCUGCAUAAAGGGUAAUUAGUGUAUGAGUAAAGAUUAGAUGUUUGAUGAAUAUUAUUGAUCUGACCAUAAACAACCAAAGUAACUUAGCUGAUCAGUGCUAGCACAAAAAUAUAGAUAGAUAGAUAGAUA